UGGGGAAUAUUGGACAAUGGGCGCAAGCCUGAUCCAGCCAUGCCGCGUGUGAAGAAGGCCUUUUGGUUGUAAAGCACUUUAAGCGAGGAGGAGGCUACCCUGACCAAUACUCAGGAGUAGUGGACGUUACUCGCAGAAUAAGCACCGGCUAACUCUGUGCCAGCAGCCGCGGUAAUACAGAGGGUGCGAGCGUUAAUCGGAAUUACUGGGCGUAAAGCGCGCGUAGGCGGUUUGUUAAGUCGGAUGUGAAAUCCCCGGGCUCAACCUGGGAAUUGCAUUCGAUACUGGCAAGCUAGAGUAUGGGAGAGGAAGGUAGAAUUCCAGGUGUAGCGGUGAAAUGCGUAGAGAUCUGGAGGAAUACCGAUGGCGAAGGCAGCCUUCUGGCCUAAUACUGACGCUGAGGUGCGAAAGCAUGGGGAGCAAACA
rnacentral:rRNA from 1 species